rnacentral:rRNA from 1 species
AGACGAGGAGCUUGCUCCUCUGACGUUAGCGGCGGACGGGUGAGUAACACGUGGAUAACCUACCUAUAAGACUGGGAUAACUUCGGGAAACCGGAGCUAAUACCGGAUAAUAUAUUGAACCGCAUGGUUCAAUAGUGAAAGACGGUUUUGCUGUCACUUAUAGAUGGAUCCGCGCCGCAUUAGCUAGUUGGUAAGGUAACGGCUUACCAAGGCAACGAUGCGUAGCCGACCUGAGAGGGUGAUCGGCCACACUGGAACGAGACACGGUCCAGACUCCUACGGGAGGCAGCAGUAGGGAAUCUUCCGCAAUGGGCGAAAGCCUGACGGAGCAACGCCGCGUGAGUGAUGAAGGUCUUCGGAUCGUAAAACUCUGUUAUUAGGGAAGAACAAAUGUGUAAGUAACUAUGCACGUCUUGACGGUACCUAAUCAGAAAGCCACGGCUAACUACGUGCCAGCAGCCGCGGUAAUACGUAGGUGGCAAGCGUUAUCCGGAAUUAUUGGGCGUAAAGCGCGCGUAGGUGGUUUUUUAAGUCUGAUGUGAAAGCCCACGGCUCAACCGUGGAGGGUCAUUGGAAACUGGAAAACUUGAGUGCAGAAGAGGAAAGUGGAAUUCCAUGUGUAGCGGUGAAAUGCGCAGAGAUAUGGAGGAACACCAGUGGCGAAGGCGACUUUCUGGUCUGUAACUGACGCUGAUGUGCGAAAGCGUGGGGAUCAAACAGGAUUAGAUACCCUGGUAGUCCACGCCGUAAACGAUGAGUGCUAAGUGUUAGGGGGUUUCCGCCCCUUAGUGCUGCAGCUAACGCAUUAAGCACUCCGCCUGGGGAGUACGACCGCAAGGUUGAAACUCAAAGGAAUUGACGGGGACCCGCACAAGCGGUGGAGCAUGUGGUUUAAUUCGAAGCAACGCGAAGAACCUUACCAAAUCUUGACAUCCUCUGACCCCUCUAGAGAUAGAGUUUUCCCCUUCGGGGGACAGAGUGACAGGUGGUGCAUGGUUGUCGUCAGCUCGUGUCGUGAGAUGUUGGGUUAAGUCCCGCAACGAGCGCAACCCUUAAGCUUAGUUGCCAUCAUUAAGUUGGGCACUCUAAGUUGACUGCCGGUGACAAACCGGAGGAAGGUGGGGAUGACGUCAAAUCAUCAUGCCCCUUAUGAUUUGGGCUACACACGUGCUACAAUGGACAAUACAAAGGGUAGCGAAACCGCGAGGUCAAGCAAAUCCCAUAAAGUUGUUCUCAGUUCGGAUUGUAGUCUGCAACUCGACUAUAUGAAGCUGAAUCGC